rnacentral:rRNA from 1 species
UACGUAGGGUGCAGGCGUUAAUCGGAAUUACUGGGCGUAAAGCGUGCGCAGGCGGUCUCUUAAGUCAGGUGUGAAAUCCCCGGGCUUAACCUGGGAACUGCGCUUGUAACUGUGAGGCUAGAGUGUGGCAGAGGGGGGUGGAAUUCCACGUGUAGCAGUGAAAUGCGUAGAGAUGUGGAGGAACACCGAUGGCGAAGGCAGCCCCCUGGGCUAACACUGACGCUCAUGCACGAAAGCGUGGGGAGCAAACAGG